rnacentral:rRNA from 1 species
AGCGAACAGACGAGGAGCUUGCUCCUCUGACGUUAGCGGCGGACGGGUGAGUAACACGUGGAUAACCUACCUAUAAGACUGGGAUAACUUCGGGAAACCGGAGCUAAUACCGGAUAAUAUAUUGAACCGCAUGGUUCAAUAGUGAAAGACGGUUUUGCUGUCACUUAUAGAUGGAUCCGCGCCGCAUUAGCUAGUUGGUAAGAUAACGGCUUACCAAGGCAACGAUGCGUAGCCGACCUGAGAGGGUGAUCGGCCACACUGGAACUGAGACACGGUCCAGACUCCUACGGGAGGCAGCAGUAGGGAAUCUUCCGCAAUGGGCGAAAGCCUGACGGAGCAACGCCGCGUGAGUGAUGAAGGUCUUCGGAUCGUAAAACCCUGUUAUUAGGGAAGAACAAAUGUGUAAGUAACUAUGCACGUCUUGACGGUACCUAAUCAGAAAGCCACGGCUAACUACGUGCCAGCAGCCGCGGUAAUACGUAGGUGGCAAGCGUUAUCCGGAAUUAUUGGGCGUAAAGCGCGCGUAGGCGGUUUUUUAAGUCUGAUGUGAAAGCCCACGGCUCAACCGUGGAGGGUCAUUGGAAACUGGAAAACUUGAGUGCAGAAGAGGAAAGUGGAAUUCCAUGUGUAGCGGUGAAAUGCGCAGAGAUAUGGAGGAACACCAGUGGCGAAGGCGACUUUCUGGUCUGUAACUGACGCUGAUGUGCGAAAGCGUGGGGA